rnacentral:piRNA from 1 species
UACACAUACUUGUGUAUACGGCGCAGACA